AGAGUUUGAUCAUGGCUCAGGAUGAACGCUAGCUACAGGCUUAACACAUGCAAGUCGAGGGGCAGCAUGGUUUGUAGCAAUACAGAUUGAUGGCGACCGGCGCACGGGUGAGUAACGCGUAUGCAACUUACCUAUCAGAGGGGGAUAGCCCGGCGAAAGUCGGAUUAAUACCCCAUAAAACAGGGGUCCCGCAUGGGAAUAUUUGUUAAAGAUUCAUCGCUGAUAGAUAGGCAUGCGUUCCAUUAGGCAGUUGGCGGGGUAACAGCCCACAAACCGACGAUGGAUAGGGGUUCUGAGAGGAAGGUCCCCCACAUUGGUACUGAGACACGGACCAAACUCCUACGGGAGGCA
rnacentral:rRNA from 1 species